rnacentral:rRNA from 1 species
UUUAUGGAGAGUUUGAUCCUGGCUCAGGAUGAACGCUGGCGGCGUGCCUAAUACAUGCAAGUCGAGCGAACAGAUAAGGAGCUUGCUCCUUUGACGUUAGCGGCGGACGGGUGAGUAACACGUGGGUAACCUACCUAUAAGACUGGAAUAACUCCGGGAAACCGGGGC